UACGUAGGGUGCAAGCGUUUGUCCGGAAUUAUUGGGCGUAAAGAGCGUGUAGGCGGCCCGAUUAGUCCGCUGUGAAAGUCCAGGGCUCAACCCUGGAAUGCCGGUGGAUACUGUCGGGCUAGAGUCCGGAAGGGGCGAGUGGAAUUCCUGGCGUAGCGGUGAAAUGCGCAGAUAUCAGGAGGAACACCAAUGGCGAAGGCAGCUCGCUGGGACGUGACUGACGCUGAGACGCGAAAGCGUGGGGAGCAAACAGG
rnacentral:rRNA from 1 species